rnacentral:rRNA from 1 species
GAUGAACGCUGACAGAAUGCUUAACACAUGCAAGUCGAUGGGGAAGUGGUGCUUGCACCCUGGCAACCAUGGCGGACGGGUGAGUAACGCGUAAGGGACUUACCUGCAGGACUGGGAUAACAGGGGGAAACUCCUGACAAGACCGGAUAAUGUCAUGGAGCUGCAUGGCUUUAUGAUGAAAGGAGACGCCUGCGGAGAGCCUUGCGUCCUAUUAGCUAGUUGGUGAGGUAAUGGCUCACCAAGGCGAAGAUAGGUAGCCGGCCUGAGAGGGUGGACGGCCACAAGGGGACUGAGAUACGGCCCUUACUCCUACGGGAGGCAGCAGGGGGGAAUAUUGGACAAUGGGGGCAACCCUGAUCCAGCAAUUCUGUGUGCACGAAGAAGGUUUUCGGAUUGUAAAGUGCUUUCAGCAGGGAAGAAGUAAGUGACGGUACCUGCAGAAGAAGCGACGGCUAAAUACGUG